CUUCAAAGAAGAGUUCACCCAAGUCAUGGGAACAGUCAGAAACCAACAGAACGGUUGCUUAUGGAACCCCACCUGGCUUCUCUGGCCAGAUUGCAGCUUUCGCCACUGAUGACAGCUGGACACGUGACCCUAAUUGGUCAGAGCCUAACAAAAGCUUCCCCCCCCCUUUCAAUUUGCUAUAUUUUGUUGCAAGAUGCUAUCUUAAUAACAUGUUGGGUUUGGUUCAUAGGCAGAAGGGGAAUAAAGUCACAGAGGAGGUGAGGCGGGGAAGGG